rnacentral:rRNA from 1 species
UGCCAGCAGCCGCGGUAAUACGGAGGGUGCAAGCGUUGUUCGGAUUUACUGGGCGUAAAGCGUAUGUAGGCGGUUUGUUAAGUCGAAUGUGAAAUGUUGAGGCUCAACCUCGAAAUAGCAUUCGAUACUGGCAAACUAGAGGGCAAUAGAGGAGGGUAGAAUUCCCAGUGUAGCGGUGAAAUGCGUAGAUAUUGGGAGGAAUACCGGUUGCGAAGGCGACCCUCUGGGUUGUUCCUGACGCUGAGAUACGAAAGCGUGGGGAGCGAACGGGAUUAGAUA